AUGGUAAGAUGCUUGACUAAUGUUGAGGCAUUUCCACUCCGCUCUAAAGACAUUGAAGAAGUGACAACUCUUUUCGCAAGAUUAUUGUGGAGCCCUCGUGUUCAAGGAGUCAUAACGUAUGAAUCUCCUUGUUGGAGAUCACUUGCAGCAAACAGAAUUCAGGUUGCAUGGAGAUACAGGAAAAAGCGUCUAAGUAGAGCUAAUACCAGUCAAUGA